GGGGCACCCGAUCAGCAUGCCGCGUGAGUGAGAAGGCCUUCGGGUUGUAAAGCUCUUUCAUUUGGGAAGAAAACGCACUCUCUAACAUAGGGUGUGGAUGACGGUACCGGAAGAAGAAGCACCGGCUAACUACGUGCCAGCAGCCGCGGUAAUACGUAGGGUGCGAGCGUUAAUCGGAAUUACUGGGCGUAAAGGGUGCGCAGGCGGUUUUGUAAGACAGAUGUGAAAUCCCCGGGCUUAACCUGGGAACUGCGUUUGUGACUGCAAGGCUAGAGUACGGCAGAGGGGGGUGGAAUUCCUCGUGUAGCAGUGAAAUGCGUAGAUAUGCGGAGGAACACCGAUGGCGAAGGCAACCCCCUGGGCCUGUACUGACGCUCAUGCACGAAAGCGUGGGGAGCAAACAGGAUUAGAUACCCUGGUAGUCCACGCCCUAAACGAUGUCAACUAGUCGUUCGGAGCAGCAAUGCACUGAGUGACGCAGCUAACGCGUGAAGUUGACCGCCUGGGGAGUACGGCCGCAAGGUU
rnacentral:rRNA from 1 species